UACGGGGGGGGUAAGCGUUGUUCGGAAUUACUGGGCGUAAAGGGCUCGUAGGCGGCCAACUAAGUCAUACGUGAAAUCCCUCAGCUUAACUGGGGAACUGCGUGUGAUACUGGAUGGCUUGGAUUUGGGAGAGGGAUGCGGAAUUCCAGGUGUAGCGGUGAAAUGCGUAGAUAUCUGGAGGAACACCGGUGGCGAAGGCGGCUUCCCGGACCGAUUACUGACGCUGAGGCGCGAAAGCUAGGGGAGCAAACGGG
rnacentral:rRNA from 1 species